CCCGGCCUCUCUCACGAAAGCGAUCUUCCGUUAAAAAUCUCCUGAUUUCUAGUCUCCAGAGACGAGCCAAAUUGAUUUCGGACUUCAGAGCUUCGCUUCACGUUAAUCUGAUCAGGAUCCGGUGCAUAGCGGGGUGCCUCAUUUUCUGGAUCAGUCGUGUUUCAGACUUUAGAGACACUUGAUUCUUGCUAGUGCCAUUGAAGGCAUGGAAUGAUUCUAUCAAAGAUGGCGUUCGGUCGGCUCACCGAUACCAAGUAAUCUACAUCUUCCUUUCAGCUGCUGAUUUAGUUCAUUGACACCCUUUUUCCUGAAGAGUUCUAUCAGCUGGUUUAGGUCUGCUUGUGGAAUCACAAUCACAAAUAGGAUUUUGAUAUGUAGUUUAAAGACUGAUUUUUGUUUCAUCAAUCAGUAAUGAUGCACCCAGUAGCAAAAACUUCAGUCCUUCCAUGUUUAACAACCGACUACUAUACCGACUUCA